CCUGACUGCACUGGAUGGAACUUUCACCACUGUGCUGAAUAAAAAUGAUGAGAGAGGAUCCUUCUUUUGUUCUCAGUCUCGAGGAGAAAGCAUUCAGUCUUGCACCAGACAGGAAUGCCAAAGGCUGGGCCAGACAGACUGUUUGGAGUCCUGAUAAUGGGUGUACCCAUGGGAAGAAACCUAGAAGAGUCCGUGGCACUUUCCAUUAUAGUGGCAGGCAGAGGGUUUGCAUUGUUUUAAAACGGCACCCUAUGGUCUCCUGGUGAACAAGCUUGGAUGAAUUUAAUGAACAAGCCCUGAGUGGCUUUGGAAUCCUUGCAAAGUUCUUGGUUUAGAAACAACUGAGAUUUUCAGAUCUAAGAAAAGGUAAAUAUAAAAAAUUGAAGCAAAAUGUCAUUGCUUGAUGGCUAAAAGCUUUAUAGAAACCUAAAAGAGUUAGAGAAGGAAGAUCUCUCAAUGGAAAUGCUAAGAAGAGACACAAGGAAAGACACAUCACUAAGGAGAGACACAAGGAAAAUGGCUCUACGACUACAGUGCAUUUAAAGAAUGAGAACGUUCCUUCUACCGAGAUUUCAGAUGAAGCCUUCCUUUGUGUGCGUGCACUCCUGUCUGGAGGGCAGCUCAAAGUGACUUCCUAAUUCUGUCAGGAUACUGGCAAGUGUUCUGUUAGGACAACAGGACCUCAAAGACUUCUCUGCCUCAUAGAAUUCCGUUGGGUGCAGCACAUCCUUUAGAGUAUUGCAGAAAGCAUAUCCUUAGCAACUACAGAUCAUAUUUUUGUUGAAACACUUACCUCUUUUACAGACUGAAACAGGAUUUGAGGGUGUCUCCCAGAUAUUUGCCUUGCUCCAAGGGCUUCACCUGCAUAACUUUACAGUUCCGAUGAAUCAUUUCAAGACUAAACUGUCCAACUUCAACUAAGGUUUCCAAUGUGUGAACUUCUAGAAAGAACUUUAAAGCCAAAUGUUUCAAAAAUUUUUCCAUGAGUACUUAUCUGAGAGCAGUUGUAUCCAGGCAGAGAGCUUUGAAAGAACAAUGUCUGAGGACAAACCGUGAGAAGCUGAAUAGGUUAGAAUAGGUCACACACUCCGUUUUACCAUCUGAGGCCCCUCCAGAUGGACAGGGGUGAGAGUCUGGCUGGCCUACGGCUGAGGACAGUGAUUCUCAGCACUCACCAUAGACCUACUGAAUCAGGAUAUCUGGGAAUGGGGCUCAGCAAUAUGUUUUGGCAACCUCUCCAGCACAUUCAAAUUGGAGAACCACUAGAGAAGAUAAGAGCAUUUGCUAUCACAGAUUUUGGAGUGUGUGCACAGCUGUGCAGAGACCAUUUUAAUUAACUUUGAGAGCCCAACCAAUAGUGUGGUUUUACCCUAAGAUUUACCACUUGGUGGGGAUUGGGAAAACUAGGAAUUCACAUUCCAACCACACAGUAGUGGAAAAUACCUCUCUAUGCUCAUAACGGAAUGAGAAUUAAACUUUAAGAAAAUGACUUUGAUCCUGAGGACCUCCUGAAAGAGUUUUGGGGAUUCCCAGGCUUCCUUGGACCACACUUUGAGAAUCACUGUUCUAUACAAGGUGCUAUUUGUAUCCAGUUGUAUUUGCCAGCUGUUUAGGCAGAUCAUUUAGACAAUUAUUUCCAGUGUCAUUUCUAAUCAUUUCAUGUACAGUCAUGUGCUACCUAACAACGUUUCAGUCAACAAUGAACCACAUGGUAUGAUGGUGAUCCCAUAUGAUUAUAAUGGAGCUGAAAAAUACCUAUUGCCUAGUGACAUUGUAGUUGCCCUAACAUGGUAGUAUAAUGCAUUACUUAUGUGUUUGUGGUGAUGCUGGUGUAAACAAACCUGUGCCUCCAGUUGUAUAAAAGUAUCGCACAUACAGUUACUCAUAGUACACAAUACUUGAUAAUGAUAAUAAAUGACUAUGAUACUGGCUUAUGUAUUUACUCUGCCAUACUUUUUUAUCAUUAUUUUAGAAUGCACUCCUUCUACUUACAAAAAGAAAGUUAACUGUAAAACACCCUCAGGCAGGUCCUUCAGGAGGAAUUCCAGAAGGCGUUAUUAUCAUAGGAGAUGACAGCUCCAUGCGUGUUAUUGCCCUUGAAGGCCUUCCAGUGGGACAAGAUGUGGAAAUGGAAGACAGUGAUAUUGAUGAUCCUGACCCUGUGUAGGCCUAGGCUAAUGUGUGUGUUUGUAUCUUAAUUUUUAGCAAAAGGUUUCAAAAGUAAAACAAAAAAACUAAAAGUAGAAUACAGCUUAUAGAAUAAUAUUAUAAACAAAUAAAACAUUCUGGACAGCUGUAUAAUGUGUUUGUGUUUUAAGCCAUGUGUUAUUACAAAAGGGUCAAAAAGUUUACAAAAAUUAGAAAGUUUAUAAAGUAAAAGAGUUGUAUUAAGCUAAGGUUAAUUAUUAUUGAAUAAAUAAAACUUUUUUAUAAAUUUA